CGCGUAGGCGGGCUAGCAAGUCAGGGGUGAAAUCCCACGGCUCAACCGUGGAAGUGCCUUUGAUACUGCUGGUCUUGAGGGAGGUAGGGGCGUGCGGAACUUCCGGUGGAGCGGUGAAAUGCGUAGAUAUCGGAAGGAACACCGGUGGCGAAAGCGGCGCGCUGGACCUCUUCUGACGCUGAGGCGCGAAAGCCAGGGGAGCAAACG
rnacentral:rRNA from 1 species